CUCUCCUUUCAGAUUUUCUAGAACAAUGGUGUAGUAUCUGUUCUUCAGUUUAAUCGCUGAUACAUCCUUGAUGUGAGGACCGACGCAUUAAACAUAUUUUUGGUGCCAGGGGAGGGCCUUGGAGCUUGCUCCAGCCCCUCCAUGCAUUGGCUCGAUGUAGCAAUGCAUCUGGGCCCAAAAAGACACAA
rfam:Alligator mississippiensis ScZkoYb_61, whole genome shotgun sequence.